rnacentral:rRNA from 1 species
AUGUCUGUCGAGCUGCUGACGAAAUUCCUCACGGUUCUGUUCGGGUAUGCCAUGCCGGCGUUGGAGUGCUUCAAGGCGGUCGAGCAGCGGACCGGGCGGACCGAUCAGCUCCGGUUUUGGUGCCAGUAUUGGAUCAUACUAGUCAUCCUGGUCAUAUUCGACGAAAUCGCAGGCGCCCUAAUAUCGAGGAUUCCGAUGUACUAUGAAGUCAAGCUCGCCUUCCUCGUCUACCUCUGGUACCCACAGACAAGGGGGUCUGACAUCGUGUACGAGAACUUCGUGCGGCCGCUGGUGAUGCAGUACGAGCCCAACAUCGAGGAGAGGCUGCGGUACCUGCGGGCCAACGCCGGCGACCUCAUCGUCUUCUACCUCAAGAACUUCACCGACAGGGGAUACGAGCUCUUCCUCCGGGUCCUUGACUUCGCUCGGUCGCAGGCGUCCAGUGGCUCAAGGACAAGGAGGUUCUUCUCGUUCCGAGGGGACCGGGCUGAGAGGCCGAGCUUCGUCGACGACGACUACGUCCACGGCAGCGAUCGGAGGAGCGCGGCCAGGCAGCGGCGACCCCGCGGUGCUGAUUACUAG